CCUACGGGGGGCAGCAGUGGGGAAUAUUGGACAAUGGGGGGAACCCUGAUCCAGCCAUGCCGCGUGUGUGAAGAAGGCCCUCGGGUUGUAAAGCACUUUCAGUGAGGAAGAACGCCUGGUGGUUAAUACCCAUCAGGAAAGACAUCACUCACAGAAGAAGCACCGGCUAACUCCGUGCCAGCAGCCGCGGUAAUACGGAGGGUGCGAGCGUUAAUCGGAAUUACUGGGCGUAAAGCGCGCGUAGGUGGCUUGAUAAGCCGGUUGUGAAAGCCCCGGGCUCAACCUGGGAACGGCAUCCGGAACUGUCAAGCUAGAGUGCAGGAGAGGAAGGUAGAAUUCCCGGUGUAGCGGUGAAAUGCGUAGAGAUCGGGAGGAAUACCAGUGGCGAAGGCGGCCUUCUGGACUGACACUGACACUGAGGUGCGAAAGCGUGGGUAGCAAACAGGAGUAGAUACCCCGGUAGUC
rnacentral:rRNA from 1 species